GCUGUGCGUGAUGACAACUGGCUCCCUCUACUGAGCUGCCCUGAGGAAACUGCCUGUUCUGACCACAGC
ensembl:snoRNA small nucleolar RNA, C/D box 100